AUACGGAGGGUGCGAGCGUUGUUCGGAAUCACUGGGCGUAAAGGGCGCGCAGGCGGUCUGUCAAGUCAGAUGUGAAAGCCCACGGCUCAACCGUGGACGUGCAUCUGAAACUGGCAGACUCGAGUACCGGAGGGGAAAGUGGAAUUCCCGGUGUAGAGGUGAAAUUCGUAGAUAUCGGGAGGAAUACCGGAGGCGAAGGCGACUUUCUGGACGGAUACUGACGCUGAGGCGCGAAAGCGUGGGGAGCGAACAGGAUUAGAAACCCCAGUAGUCC
rnacentral:rRNA from 1 species